rnacentral:rRNA from 1 species
UGGGGAAUAUUGCACAAUGGGCGGAAGCCUGAUGCAGCAACGCCGCGUGAGGGAUGACGGCCUUCGGGUUGUAAACCUCUUUUAGCAGGGAAGAAGCGAGAGUGACGGUACCUGCAGAAAAAGCGCCGGCUAACUACGUGCCAGCAGCCGCGGUAAUACGUAGGGCGCAAGCGUUAUCCGGAAUUAUUGGGCGUAAAGAGCUCGUAGGCGGUUUGUCGCGUCUGCUGUGAAAUCCCGAGGCUCAACCUCGGGCCUGCAGUGGGUACGGGCAGACUAGAGUGCGGUAGGGGAGAUUGGAAUUCCUGGUGUAGCGGUGGAAUGCGCAGAUAUCAGGAGGAACACCGAUGGCGAAGGCAGAUCUCUGGGCCGUAACUGACGCUGAGGAGCGAAAGGGUGGGGAGCAAACAGGCUUAGAUACCCUGGUAGUCCACCCGUAAACGUUGGGAACUAGUUGUGGGGACCAUUCCACGGUUUCCGUGACGCAGCU